rnacentral:rRNA from 1 species
AUUCUGGCUCAGGAUGAACGCUGGCGGCGUGCUUAACACAUGCAAGUCGAACGGGAUCCAUCAGGCUUUGCUUGGUGGUGAGAGUGGCGAACGGGUGAGUAAUGCGUGACCGACCUGCCCCAUACACCGGAAUAGCUCCUGGAAACGGGUGGUAAUGCCGGAUGCUCCGACUCCUCGCAUGGGGUGUCGGGAAAGAUUAUAUCGGUAUGGGAUGGGGUCGCGUCCUAUCAGGUAGUCGGCGGGGUAACGGCCCACCGAGCCUACGACGGGUAGCCGGCCUGAGAGGGCGACCGGCCACAUUGGGACUGAGAUACGGCCCAGACUCCUACGGGAGGCAGCAGUGGGGAAUAUUGCACAAUGGGCGCAAGCCUGAUGCAGCGACGCCGCGUGCGGGAUGACGGCCUUCGGGUUGUAAACCGCUUUUGAUCGGGAGCAAGCCUUCGGGUGAGUGUACCUUUCGAAUAAGCACCGGCUAACUACGUGCCAGCAGCCGCGGUAAUACGUAGGGUGCAAGCGUUAUCCGGAAUUAUUGGGCGUAAAGGGCUCGUAGGCGGUUCGUCGCGUCCGGUGUGAAAGUCCAUCGCUUAACGGUGGAUCUGCGCCGGGUACGGGCGGGCUGGAGUGCGGUAGGGGAGACUGGAAUUCCCGGUGUAACGGUGGAAUGUGUAGAUAUCGGGAAGAACACCAAUGGCGAAGGCAGGUCUCUGGGCCGUUACUGACGCUGAGGAGCGAAAGCGUGGGGAGCGAACAGGAUUAGAUACCCUGGUAGUCCACGCCGUAAACGGUGGAUGCUGGAUGUGGGGCCCGUUCCACGGGUUCCGUGUCGGAGCUAACGCGUUAAGCAUCCCGCCUGGGGAGUACGGCCGCAAGGCUAAAACUCAAAGGAAUUGACGGGGGCCCGCACAAGCGGCGGAGCAUGCGGAUUAAUUCGAUGCAACGCGAAGAACCUUACCUGGGCUUGACAUGUUCCCGACAGCCGUAGAGAUAUGGCCUCCCUUCGGGGCGGGUUCACAGGUGGUGCAUGGUCGUCGUCAGCUCGUGUCGUGAGAUGUUGGGUUAAGUCCCGCAACGAGCGCAACCCUCGCCCUGUGUUGCCAGCACGUCAUGGUGGGAACUCACGGGGGACCGCCGGGGUCAACUCGGAGGAAGGUGGGGAUGACGUCAGAUCAUCAUGCCCCUUACGUCCAGGGCUUCACGCAUGCUACAAUGGCCGGUACAACGGGAUGCGACACGGCGACGUGGAGCGGAUCCCUGAAAACCGGUCUCAGUUCGGAUUGGAGUCUGCAACCCGACUCCAUGAAGGCGGAGUCGCUAGUAAUCGCGGAUCAGCAACGCCGCGGUGAAUGCGUUCCCGGGCCUUGUACACACCGCCCGUCAAGUCAUGAAAGUGGGUAGCACCCGAAGCCGGUGGCCUAACCCUUUGUGGAUGGAGCCGUCUAAGGUGAGACUCGUGAUUGGGACUAAGUCGUAACAAGGUAGCCGUACCGGAAGGUGCGGCUG